AAGGUCAGAUAUAGAAACUGACUAAAAUGUAAGUCUUCUGAAUCAAAGUCUAUUACCUCUACCAUACUAUAUGCCAUACUGCUUCUGCCCCUGUGUACUACACAAAGGUAAAUGAAUUACCUAAUACUUAAACCAACCCAUGUAAGUAGCUGAACUAGAUCAUUUAUGUUUUUGAUUUUGUUUGGCUUGCUUCCCUUUCAUCUGCACCAUGUGAACAUCGUAUGGGUGUUUAAUAAAUAUCCCUAUCAAAAUUCUGAAGCUACAAAAGUAUACAGUGCAUCAUUGUUUACUAAAAGUAUAUUUGAAUAUAAACAGACUGUUAGGGAUGGUUAAGACAGAUAAUAAUAGACUGAUUAAAGGAUGGGUGAUCAUUCCCCAUGCUGCGUAAGAUUAAAUAUGCUAAUCAGAUUUUGGAUUUAGAAAACCCAGAAAAAUCCACAGGAGAACAAGGAAAGGUACUCAAAUCUUCAGUUUCUUGCUUUUCAAAAAUACAUACUGCAUUUUAUCCAUGUCUCCUUCAGAGCUGAACAAUUUAUGAAGGCUUUACCCAGGGCAGGGAAAGCUGAAGACCCACAGCUCCCCAAAAUGAGGAGAAAAAGAAGAAAAGCCUGUAAGAAAUGGGAAAUCUUGAAUACCACACUAUGUGUAUCUCAGCCUGCUGGUCAAGCAUGCCAAGAAAAUAUCAAAGCUCUUGCAAAGGAAGUCAAAGGAGACACCUUGGAGCCUGUGUUUCAUCAGGCUGGGGCAUUAGGGAAAUCUAAGGAAAAUGGAGAUGAGAGUACGUCUGCUUCUGUGAAUGAAAAGCAGAAUUCUUCUUUUCUCCCUAAAGAUAAGAAACAGCAUCCAUCUGACAGCAAAAUACCUAGGAAGAAGGGAAAUGAUGAUCCUCCUUUGGCUGCCUCUCAUUAACUGGAGAAAGUCUUAUCUAUGAUCAUAUUUAAUGCCUAUGGAGAAUCAUUACGAGAAAACAUUGUAUUACAGAAUCUCCCAGGCACAACAGAAGUCUUUAACCCAGCAAAAGGCAAAUUUAUUACGGAAGUGAAAUGUGGGGCUUUCAAUGUGCAAAUAGAAAUCAAGAAAAACUUUUUCUGUAAACCAGGGAUACAGUUCCCAACAAAAAAAGAGACGUCCAAAAUGUGGCCAGCGUUUCUCUAUCAUACCCAUUCAGAGAUGCUACACUUCAAGGAGCUGCUUUCCUAAACAUAGGGAUAUACUGUUGGAAGAACUAAAACCUAAGGUGCCCUGUAAAUAUGAGGGAGAAAUCACCAGAGCCAAGAGCCCCUUGUUGAAAGUAAGCAUUGAAAGAAAAGAAAGUUAACUACAUGAGUAAGACACAGAAUAUAUUAAUUAAUAUAACUCAUUCCAAAAGAAAGGAAAAAGUAACUAAGUACAGAAAUAUUUCCUCCAAUCACACCACCAAAGAACCUUUCAGGUUUCCAUCACAGUCUAGUAUUAGGCACCCUGAAAUGUGGCAGCAUGAAAACAAGCAUCAGAGUUCAGAUUGUUUGUGUGUCUCUCCUCCUGGUGUGUGUGCUGCCCAGGAGGAGAAUUGUUUGUGUGUCUCUCCUCCUGGUGUCUGUGCUGCCCAGGAGAAGAAUGUUGAUACAGCUGUGAUUUCUCUAACCUUAACUCUGGAGAGAAAGAAAAAUAAGCCUGACACACUGUCUACAGUCUUAGAUGAUUGUGAGGUAGAAUCUGCUAUCUCUCGGCAGAAGGUCUUUAAAAUUAGUCAGAACACCCCCAGAAAGAAACAUUUCUCCGAGUCUAAGACUCUUCUCAAAAAAUUCUUCCUACUUCAUGUAAUACCCCAAAGAUCACAAGUUUAAGUAAUGCAGAUUUAAGUAAAAUACCUUUUGAGGAUUCUAAGGAUAUGGAAAAAGAGAAAAAUCACCUUUGAUAUCCUAGGAAAUAUCACAUCAGACACACAUACAGCAAAGCACAGAAGGAAUAAAUUAUUUGCCAAGUACCAUUACUGACAUCAUUCCAGUUCAAGAUGGCAAAGGCUUCAACUUCAGUUCUUCAUCUUCUGUGAGCAUGCAGCUCAUAGGAACAAAGACAGCCAACAUCUACUGCAAAGGAAGCAAGACUCCACCUGCAGAAUGCUGUGAGAAGUCAAAUUCUGUAUCUUUCCCUUCCAGUCAAACUACUCUGCAGUCUUGCACCUCAUUCAGCCCACCUCACUGGGCCACCAGACAUUCGAAACCUAAAGAAAACCCUGGGAGUACAUUUUCUUUUCAUCAUUGUGCUGUGUGUGUGGUAGAUUAUGAGAAGGGGCACGUUGAUGUGACUGACAGAGACUUUAACAAAGCCAUUUUACAUAAUGACUCUCCUGCAAAAGCACAGCAACACCGGAAAGGAAGAUUACACCAUGUCUAAAUCUCAGGUCCUGCCUCUUGCAGCAGCCUAGCAGCUAAGAGCACACUCAAUAGUAUUAGCCACAGCAUGAUGGCAUGGAAUCAGAGUCUCAGGCAAGUCAUCCAGAGAUAGCAGCCCCUAGCAAAAAAAAUAAGUGCUAGUUAUGACCUUCAUAACUGAUGAGUUGGAACAAAAAGUAAUUACUCAAGAUGAUAAAGAAACAGUUUAUUCUAAUUGUACUAUGGGAAUGAAAAACCCUAAACAGUCACCCAGCUCUCUGGAAAAUUUUGAAAAAGACAAAUGCCAGAUAAUACCAGUGGUGAAGAAAGCAUGCCACAGAGAUUCUGAAGACCUGUUAAAUGAGAAUCAUGACGAAGUCGGUUUUCAAAUGUAUUUUUCAGCAAACACUGCUGAGUCCAACUGUGCAGUGUGCUUCAGAUAAUCUAUUUCUUAUUGAGAAAACACUGACGAACGAUGUGGACCUACAUGGUAAGCAAGAUAAAAAAAAGCAUUGGACUAACUAGUUUUAAACAGUAGCCAACACGGUGCCAAAGGAUUGCAUCAACAAGGCCAAAUUCUGAAGAAGAUAAGAACAAAAGUGACUCAAAGGAAAAUUACUAUCAUCAAAUACACAUGUUGAUGUCACCUCAGAAGCAAGCUUUGAAAGGUAUGGUGGGCUAUACAGAAUCAUUACCUUGCAUUAUUUUUACAUAUUUUAGCUUUAGAAAGUCUUAAGAUGAGGGCUUUUUUAAUUGCUUGGGAUAUUUUCUUUAUUGCUAAAGAUAUAUUGUAUAUUUUAGAGUUAGAUGAACACAGGCAAGCAUAUAUCAGCCUGUUUCUUUACAUUAUCACCCACUCCACCCAUAAAUAGUGCAUCUCCAAGCAUGCAGUUUAAUGUAAAGUAAAAAAAAAAAAAAAUCAAUUUCUCUUCAAAAGGUUGAUAUAUUGCCAAAUCAACUUUUUAGGAAAUGUUAGCCUUUUGCCACUCUUAAAUAAUCCACCAUUUCUUUCUUUCUUGCAAGCUAAGCAUGUUCAGAAGAAUAGGAAGAAUAUGUUUGUAAUAAAACAUAUUUUCAAACCUUGCUGUGGUGUUGCAGAAGCAUUGUACGUAUGUCUCGAGAGGCCAUGUGGAAUAGUAAUUAAAACAAAGGACAAAAAACAGAAACGACCAUGCCUAAUCCUCAUUGAGCCACCAUGGGGCCUCUAACCUCCAGCAGACCUCUGACCUCCCUUGUGCAUUACUUGGACCAGAUCAAACUGUUGAUAGAACCCAGAAGCUCUCCAGACCUCAAGAAGGGCUAAGAUGGAAGUUCUUUCCUAAGUACAUAAUUCUGCCUGUCUGCUUUCAAUCUUGGAUCACCACUAUAUCAUUUUGGUUACUUCACAGAAGGCCCUUGUUUUUUUCAAUGAGUCCAAAUUAUUUUAUAUUUAAUGUUAGCAUUAUUCCAUAUUAUAAAUUAAAUUACAUUUUGAAUGAGUAAAAACUGUCUUCCAAACUGCUGGCAAUAAUCCUAAUAGCCUCAGAAACGAUAUUUGGAAUGAUAAAACUUAAAGGAGAAGCUAUAGUUUCUUUGUAGUUCAAUCUCUAGAUUUUUAAAUAAAAUUAGUAAAAUUUAGAAGUAGAAAUAAAAUACAAAAAGGAUAAUCAAUUGCCUGUUAGAAUAAAAGGUGAAAUUUGCUUUGUAAAGAGUAAAUGCUCCAGAACAGUAUGGAAACUCUAUGGUCAUCUGCUUGAUAUGAACACCCUAAAGCAAGGACCGUCAGUCAUGGGGACAGCUUCCUAGUGCCAAUAUUCAUCCAGAAAUCAGGAUCAAUGACAUUAAUCCCAACAUUGGCUUCAGUCUACAGUUAUUUGGAACUGCAAGGGAACCUGCAAUAAGAACAAUUGUGCCUCCCAAAGGAAACACAUGCUCACCUGGAUGAAUAUCUCCCAAGUUGACUCUACUUCUAAAGCCAUGUUCCUCCCUGUACAUGCCUCUCCCAGCGAGGAACAUUUCUUAAGAAAAUAAAUAAUUCAAGUCAGAAUUCUCUCAAAGCUGAUCUUACACAUCAGUAGACUUUGAAACUGUCCCAUUUGGUAAAUAAUUUCGGCCACUGGUUCCCUGUGUUACUGAUUCAUCAAAAGGCUGUUCCUACAACUCUCUCCCUGGAUCCUUUUCCUUGAUCACUCUUCCAGCCACAUUGACCUUCCAGCCCAGAUCCACAUCAGGCCCUUUGCAUGGACUGCUCCCACCACCUGGACCAGUCUUCCCCUAUAUGUCUACAUGAUUCAUUCUCAUCUCCUUUAGAUUUUUGCUCACACAGUGUGUUCUCAGGAAGGUCUUCUCAGACCACUCUACUUAAAAUUGCAAUCUGUACCAUCUUCAUUACAACCCAAGCAAACGCCAUCCUUUUGUUCCAUUUAUACAUAGCACAUUUUUGCCUUCUAAUUUGUUAUAUAUUUUGCUGGUUUAUUUUGGUUUUGUUCCGUCUUCUUUCACUAGAAUGUAAGUUCCAGGAGGGCAUGAAUUUUUCCUGUUCUGAUCAUUGUAUAUUCAUAAAAUUAGAUAAUACCUGUCCUGUAGUAUAGUUGCUCAAAUAUUUAUUGAAUAAAAAAAUCAAUGCAGGGAAGUCACAUCAGGUUUCUUUGUAUAGUAUUCUGUUUAUAGACCAAAAUAAAUAACAGAAAAAAGGAAAUAGUUCAGCAGUUAUAU